CAAUAGCGUAUAUUUAAGUUGUUGCAGUUGAAAGGCUCGUAGUCGGAAUUUAGCGCUUUCUUGAUGGUCCGCCUCUGGUGUGCACUGUCGACGAUUGUGCUUUCUGUCGGGGACGUGUUCCUGGGCUUAACUGUCUGGGACUCGGGCUCGGCGUGGUUACUUUGAGUAAAUUAGAGUGUUCAAAGCAGGCGAUCGCCCUGAAUACAUUAGCAUGGAAUAGCAUGAUAGGACUCUGGCCUGUCUUGCUGGUCUGUAGGACCGGAGUAAUGAUUAAGAGGGACAGUCGGGGGCAUUCGUAUUUCGUUGUCAGAGGUGAAAUUCUUGGAUUUACGAAAGACGAACAUCUGCGAAAGCAUUUGCCAAAGAUGUUUNCAUUGA
rnacentral:rRNA from 1 species